GACGAACGCUGGCGGCGUGCUUAACACAUGCAAGUCGAACGGAAAGGCCCUAGUUUUGUGGGGUACUCGAGUGGCGAACGGGUGAGUAACACGUGGGUGACCUGCCCUUGACUUUGGGAUAACUUCAGGAAACUGGGGCUAAUACCGGAUAGGAGCUCCUGCUGCAUGGUGGGGGUUGAAAAGUUUCGGCGGUUGGGGAUGGACUCGCGGCUUAUCAGCUUGUUGGUGGGGUAGUGGCUUACCAAGGCUUUGACGGGUAGCCGGCCUGAGAGGGUGACCGGCCACAUUGGGACUGAGAUACGGCCCAGACUCUUACGGGAGACAGCAGGGGGGAAUAUUGCACAAGGGGCGGAAGCCUUAUGCAGCAACGCCGCGUGCGGGAAGACGGCCUUCGGGGUAUAAACCGCUUUCGCCUGUGACGAAGCGUGAGUGACGGUAAUUGGUAAAGAAGCACCGGCUAACUACGUG
rnacentral:rRNA from 1 species